CCUACGGGAGGCUGCAGUGGGGAAUAUUGCGCAAUGGGCGAAAGCCUGACGCAGCAACGCCGCGUGGGGGAUGACGGCCUUCGGGUUGUAAACCCCUUUCAGCAGGGACGAAAAUGACGGUACCUGCAGAAGAAGCCCCGGCCAACUACGUGCCAGCAGCCGCGGUAACACGUAGGGGGCGAGCGUUGUCCGGAUUUAUUGGGCGUAAAGAGCUCGUAGGCAGUUGCGUAAGUCGGAUGUGAAAACUCAGGGCUCAACCCGGAGACUGCAUUCGAUACUGCCUGACUAGAGUCCGGUAGGGGAGCAUGGAAUUCCUGGUGUAGCGGUGAAAUACGUAGAUAUCGGGAGGAACACCAGUGGCGAAAGCGGCCUGCUGGGGCAGUUCUGACGCUAAGGGACUAAAGCGUGGGGAGCGAACCGGAUUAGAUACCCGGG
rnacentral:rRNA from 1 species